rnacentral:rRNA from 1 species
CCGGCGACCGGCGCACGGGUGAGUAACACGUAUGCAACCUGGCCGUGACAGAUGGAUAACCGGGAGAAAUCCCGCCUAAUACAACAUAAUGCCGGGAGGGGACAUCCCCUGCCGGUCAAAGGGGGCGACCCCGGUCAUGGAUGGGCAUGCGGCGCAUUAGGUAGUUGGUGGGGCAACGGCCCACCAAGCCGACGAUGCGUAGGGGUCUGAGAGGAAGGUCCCCCACAUUGGAACUGAGACACGGUCCAAACUCCUACGGGAGGCAGCAG